rnacentral:misc_RNA from 1 species
GACGAAGGGUGCGAGCGUUGUUCGGAUUUAUUGGGCGUAAAGAGCGUGUAGGCGGAUGUGUAAGCCAGGUGUGGAAUCUCGGGGCCCAACCCCGAAACUGCGCCUGGAACUGCGUAUCUAGAAUCUCGGAGGGGGCGGGGGAAUUUCACAUGUAGGGGUAAAAUCCGUAGAGAUGUGAAGGAACACCUGUGGCGAAGGCGCCUGCCUGGACGAGUAUUGACGCUGAGACGCGAAAGCGUGGGGAGCAAACAGG